GAAAUGCGAUACUUGGUGUGAAUUGCAGAAUCCCGCGAAUCAUCGAGUUUUUGAACGCAAGUUGCGCCCGAAGCCAUUCGGCCGAGGGCACGUCUGCCUGGGUGUCACGCAUCGUUGCCCCCCCAAACUCCGGUUCGGGCGGGGCGGAAGUUGGCCUCCCGUGCGCGCCUGCGCGCGCGGUUAGCCCAAAAGCGAGGCCUCGGCGACGAGCGCCACGACAAUCGGUGGUUUUUCGACCCUCGUUCCACGUCGUGCGCGCCCCGUCGCCCGAACUCUUGCGACCCUUACGCGUUGCCUCGGCGACGCUCCCAACGCGACCCCAGGUCAGGCGGGACUACCCGCUGAGUUUAAGC
rnacentral:misc_RNA from 1 species